rnacentral:rRNA from 1 species
GAUGAACGCUGGCGGCGUGCCUAAUACAUGCAAGUCGAGCGAACGGACGAGAAGCUUGCUUCUCUGAUGUUAGCGGCGGACGGGUGAGUAACACGUGGAUAACCUACCUAUAAGACUGGGAUAACUUCGGGAAACCGGAGCUAAUACCGGAUAAUAUUUUGAACCGCAUGGUUCAAAAGUGAAAGACGGUCUUGCUGUCACUAAUAGAUGGAUCCGCGCUGCAUUAGCUAGUUGGUAAGGUAACGGCUUACCAAGGCAACGAUGCAUAGCCGACCUGAGAGGGUGAUCGGCCACACUGGAACUGAGACACGGUCCAGACUCCUACGGGAGGCAGCAGUAGGGAAUCUUCCGCAAUGGGCGAAAGCCUGACGGAGCAACGCCGCGUGAGUGAUGAAGGUCUUCGGAUCGUAAAACUCUGUUAUUAGGGAAGAACAGAUGUGUAAGUAACUGUGCACAUCUUGACGGUACCUAAUCAGAAAGCCACGGCUAACUACGUG